UACAGAGGGUGCAAGCGUUAAUCGGAAUUACUGGGCGUAAAGCGUGCGCAGACGGUUGCGUAAGUCAGAUGUGAAAGCCCCGGGCUCAACCUGGGAAUUGCAUUCGAGACUGCAAAGCUUGGGUGCGGAAGAGGGAAGCGGAAUUUCCGGUGUAGCGGUGAAAUGCGUAGAUAUCGGGAAGAACACCCGUGGCGAAGGCGGCUCUCUGGGACGGUACUGACGCUGAGACGCGAAAGCGUGGGGAGCGAACAGG
rnacentral:rRNA from 1 species